ACUUCACCCACAGCUACCAUGACUUUCAUCCCCGUCUUCAUCUGGACACUGAUCCUCUGGACUCAAGAAUGCAGAAGUCAAGUCACAGUAACUCAGACUCCUGCAGUGAAAUCUGCUCUUCCAGGAGAAACAGUCACCAUCAACUGUAGAACCAGUCAGGCAGUGUAUUAUUACAGCUCAUACGGCCACUACUUACACUGGUAUCAGCAGAAACCUGGAGAAGCUCCUAAACUACUGAUUAAAUAUGUGAAUAAGUUACAGUCAGGUUUUCCAGCUCGUUUCAGUGGCAGUGGAUCUGGAUCUGAUUUCACUCUGACCAUCAGUGGAGUCCAGACUGAAGAUGCAGGAGAUUACUACUGUCAGAGUUACCAUUCCAUCACUGGCUACUGGUUCACACAGUGUUAUAGAGUCGUACAAAAACCUCCCUCAGUCAGAUUGUAGAGAGACUGCACUGCUGCAGCUGGGAGCGACUGCAGGUGCUGGGUUGGAGGAUGUGAUACGAUACAAUGAC